rnacentral:misc_RNA from 1 species
GAAUUCAACUUUGUCCCAUGAGGCAGCAAUGUCUUGUGGGCACGCACUGGGGUCCCUCGUGGCACCAGUGUGGAAUACACAUCCAUAACACCUGUGAACUGUCUGCAAGCGCCUAGAGGCACUUCGGUGUCGCUUGGGUCUUGCACUUUACAAACUCUACCUGUAAAAAAUGUCUAUAUACAAAAACAAAAUAAAACUUUUAACAACGGAUCUCUUGGCUCU